AUGUCCGCUUCAACAACACAUAUGCUAAAGUCAGAACGAUACAGAAAAAUUAGCAUGACUCCUGUGAGAGGAUUCUGUGCAAAUUGCUGACACAUUCUGUAUUUUA
rnacentral:snRNA from 1 species